rnacentral:rRNA from 1 species
UGGGGAAUUUUGGACAAUGGGCGAAAGCCUGAUCCAGCAAUGCCGCGUGUGUGAAGAAGGCCUUCGGGUUGUAAAGCACUUUUGUCCGGAAAGAAAUCCUUGGCUCUAAUACAGUCGGGGGAUGACGGCNCCGGAAGAAUAAGCACCGGCUAACUACGUGCCAGCAGCCGCGGUAAUACGUAGGGUGCAAGCGUUAAUCGGAAUUACUGGGCGUAAAGCGUGCGCAGGCGGUUUGCUAAGACCGAUGUGAAAUCCCCGGGCUCAACCUGGGAACUGCAUUGGUGACUGGCAGGCUAGAGUAUGGCAGAGGGGGGUAGAAUUCCACGUGUAGCAGUGAAAUGCGUAGAGAUGUGGAGGAAUACCGAUGGCGAAGGCAGCCCCCUGGGCCAAUACUGACGCUCAUGCACGAAAGCGUGGGGAGCAAACAGGAUUAGAUACCCUGGUAGUCCACGCCCUAAAACGAUGUCAACUAGUUGUUGGGGAUUCAUUUCCUUAGUAACGUAGCUAACGCGUGAAGUUGACCGCCUGGGGAGUACGGUCGCAAGAUUAAAACUUAAAGGAAUUGACGGGGUCAUA